UUCUACAGCCAUGCCACCCUGAAUGCGCUUGAUCUCGUCUGAUCUCCAAAGCUAAGCAGGAUAGUUUUUGGAUGAGAGAACUGGGGUCAUGAUAGUGGGGGGUGGGGGUGGGGAGGAAGCAUUAUAAAAC
rnacentral:rRNA from 1 species